rnacentral:rRNA from 1 species
GACGAACGCUGGCGGCGUGCCUAACACAUGCAAGUCGAACGGAGUUUUAUGGAAUGCGACUUCGGGUCAAAUGAAAUAAGACUUAGUGGCGGACGGGUGAGUAACGUGUGAGCAACCUGCCUUUUCAGAGGGGGAUAACGCAGAGAAAUCUGCGCUAAUACCGCAUGACAUGUUUGGAUCGCAUGAUCUGAAUAUCAAAGGAGCAAUCCGCUGAAAGAUGGGCUCGCAUCUGAUUAGCCUAGUUGGUGAGGUAACGGCCCACCAAGGCACGAUCAGUAGCCGGACUGAGAGGUUUGAACGGCCACAUUGGGACUGAGACA